AGGAUGGGUUGGAUAUUCACCCAUUCAAUCCCUAUGAGAAAUACAAGUAUAUGGAUUAUGGGGGAGAUAGUUCCAAGACUAAACUUUAGAAAAUAACGAAGGCCACCCCCAGGUUAAUCGUGCGGUUAUUAUGCUCACCGGGGAACUUCCCAGUACAGACAUAAGAAAGGGUGGCGGUGAUGCUCUUUCUUGUUUUGUGGGGUGUCUCCGUCCCGUAAAAGUGGUGAUUAUUUGUCUGGUUAAAUCCGAUAACGAACGGAGACCCUUAACUUCUUAAUGGCCUUUUUCAUUUUAUUGAAUAAGUCUUCUUAGAGGGCUAUAUCUUUAGUAUAUGGAAGUUUGAGACCAAUAACAGGUUUUGUGAUUCCCUUAUAUGUUAUUGGCUGCACGCGUGCUACACUGAAGUAUACAACAAGUGCCUAGCUAGAUAUAGUAUGGGCAAUUCUCGAAUAUGCAUCGUGAUGGGGGAUAGAUCUUUGCAAUUAUAGAUCUUGAACGAGGAAUUCCUAGUAAAGUGCAAGUCAUCAUCUUUCAUUGAUUAUUUUCCUGCUCUUGGGGGACGAGAGAACAAUCGCUCCUACCGAUCCGGGUGAUCCGGGAACCUGUGGACCC
rnacentral:rRNA from 1 species